rnacentral:lncRNA from 10 species
UUGAAACUUACACAAACACUCACUGUAUUAUUGCAGAAGAGAGAGAGAAUGGAGAGAGAAAGGAAGAGGAAGAGGACAAGAAGAGGAAAGAGAGGAGGAAAGGAAGAGGCAUUUGGAAACAAUUUGUGCCGAAGACAGAAAGUACACCUAACGUUAAGCUGAAAAAACUGGACGCUCCCAGCAAACUCACUUUGCAGACUCCUGGUUGUCAGAAGAAAACGCCAGAGGAUUUCACUUGGCAUUGACCUCUUACUACUUCCAGCCACUUACCCUGGGCAGUAGAAAGAAGGAACAGAAAGCAGAGUAGAUUAAGAGGAGCAAGUACAAAUGGCGUGGGACUUCAAAUCACCACCUAAGAUUACUUCUUUGAUUUCUGAAAAAGUAGGUCAAAGGAAGAUGUCAGGGGCAAGAAACCAAUUGGGUGUUGUGCCUAAGAACGUGGACCCUGUGGCCAGACUGCUUGGAUCAGUGUCCUCCCUCCACCACUUUGUAGCCAUCUGACCUCAGUGCUGGAGCAGAGGUACUGAAUGAGGAAGUGGAGUCUUGGGAUACCUUUGGAGGGAUCCAGUUAAUGGACUGGCUGCCAUAAUUGGUCUGAGACACUGGUGCAAGCAUGCAACUGAAGGCGAGAAAGAGCGAGAAGGAUGCUGUUUCUGAGAAGGCCUUCCUUUUUUUCCUCUGGAGAAAGUGAAAUCCUAAAUCCAUUCCCUCAUUUUCCCUAACUCCUGAAGAGAAUGGGAAUCUACAGGUCUCUAUCCCUGGUGAGCCCGGAGGUUGAGUUUUCACAAGGGCAGCAAGAAGAAUCCCUUCUCCUCUUCCUGUCCACCUUCUGAAGAGGAGGAGACAGAGCCGGGUUGCAGAUCCUCACCAAAGUGGAUGCUGUUCCCAGAGGAAGGAAGGCCCCCCCGGGGCAAGGUUGCCAACAUGACCCCACAGAGACCAGGAACAAACGUUCUUGCCUUUGGACUUCACUUCUUCACAGAGCCAGAGUUACAGGCCAACCUGAAGAUGGUAUCAUGACUCACACACACUUAUUUCUCAGCCUCAGCCAGGCUCAAGAGCAAGACUGCUGAAGGAGGAAGGGCCCUUCAUGGCCUCCUCUGCCUCGUGACUGCUUUACCUGCCACUGAUGAGGCUUCCCUGGGAUGAGAUGGAGACGAGGGCACUGAAUGACUUUGAGUUAGGGGGACUCAAGAGGGUGAGGGCACCAUGAUCAUUACCCCUUCAGUCUCCUGUCUCCCUCUUGGCAUCUCUGCAACACAGAAGGCUGGCAAUGGUGAGAUAUUAUAUUGUCAAUUAUUCAAACUUUAGAAUUUUCUGAUGCCUCAACAUCCCUGCAAAUGGGCUGUGAGCACCUUGCCCAGGUGACCAGGUGCACCAGUGUGCUAAGGCUGGUCCGGGCCACAGGUUCCCCACUUUGUGCUCCCCUGACUGGGACCUAGUGACAUCAACACCACCAGUGCAAUCCCCUCACACCUUUUGCUUGUGGAUUCCCCUCUGAAGUCCAAUAAAGGCGCUUGUCUGAG